rnacentral:rRNA from 1 species
UCGGAAUUACUGGGCGUAAAGCGUGCGUAGGUGGUUCGUUACGUCUGAUGUGAAAGCCCUGGGCUCAACCUGGGAAUGGCAUUGGAUACUGGCGGACUGGAGUGCGGUAGAGGAUGGCGGAAUUCCCGGUGUAGCAGUGAAAUGCGUAGAGAUCGGGAGGGACAUCUGUGGCGAAGGCGGCCAUCUGGACCAGCACUGACACUGAGGCACGAAAGCGUGGGGAGCAAACAGG